UCCCUAAUGGCUCAGACGGUAAAGCAUCUGCCUACAAUGCAGGAGACCCAGGUUCAAUCCCCGGGUCAGGAC
rnacentral:tRNA from 1 species